GCUCUGACUAGAUUGCACUACU
rnacentral:miRNA from 1 species